AGAGGUUCAGUUCACUCUGACUGCUUGAGCUGAAAAUAUCAAUCUUCUGCUGCCCUCCACACUCCUUGUUUUCAGGCCUUCAGACUAGAAUUGGAAUCCCCACCAACAGCUCAUCAGUUCUUAGGCUUUUAAACUACACCACUGGCUUUCCUCGGUCUCCAGCUUGCGCAAGAGAGCAAAUUGUGGGACUUCUCAGCCGCUAUACACAUAAAAGUUCAGUGAGGGCACGCAUCCUCCAGACUACAGAGCUUCGCCCUCCUGCUUGGGCCUUCAGCUCUUCUCAAUUAAGAUCAAGGCCCUUGCACAAGUUACAUACGUACUCUGAGGCAUAAUACCCACAUUACAGAUCAGGUCUCAGAACACCAGUUUUCUAAUUCCAAGCAGAAAGUUCCAUCCAUCAGGAUAAAUGCCACUUGGUUUGAUGAAUCGAAAUAUAGCAUCCUUCAGAUCCCUUCGCUGAAGAACACGGUUAUUUGUGUACAUUACUUUUUCUGUUUGGCUGAAAGGUUUAGUAUGAGCUAAGGAAAAUGAAGCCAUUACCACUAUAAGAACUAAUCCCUUUCUGACAUCUUUCAGGAUAUUGGCGCUGCAUAUAUUCAGAAUCACCCAAAGUCAGCUUGUGAUAAAAAUGCCUUCAAAAUGGCAAAAUAUGUUUCAUUUGGUACAUGUUCGUUAAAAAUAUACACGUCUUCACUAUGGUGGAUAUGUAUUAUUGAUAGAUAACACAGGCUGAUUUAGGAAGAGAUAUAAGCACACUUGGAACUUAUUAGCCUUUCAGCCAAGAUAUAAAAUUCUGAAAUAAAAGUGUAUUCCUGGUCAACAAUUUUCCUCAGCUCUUAGCCACCUUACAAAGUAGGAACACGCCAUAAGGACACGUUCAUCCUUGUAUCGCCAUCUCCAGUACAGUGCCUGGAAUAGAGUGGGCAUUCACUUGAUAUUUGUUAGUGAAAGAAAUAAGAGACACGUGUGUGUGUGUGUGUGUGUGUGUGUGUGUGUGUGUGUGUGUGUGCUGGGGGGCAGCAGGUGGUAAUAGAAUGGAAAUGCCUUUAGAAAAGAUAAUUCCGACAGUACUCCUCAUUAACACCCUCAUCAGGAAGCCUGGGUUUGAAGAAUAAUUGAAAUGACAGAAAGAAGACCAUGUGCAAAUAUUGCUUGCUAUUUCUUUUCUCUGAAGAAUUUUACUGUUCUCACAUUCUCUAUCAACCUACUUGAUGCAAUGUUGCUAUAAAAAUUAUUUUUUCUUCCUUUUAACAUCCCACUUAGUUCAUCACAACUGAGAUAAUAUCACCUCUAAAAUGCAAAACAUCAACCGCAAAGAAUAAGAAGUCUAACCAACAGAUGUUCACAAAUUAGACUAGCCAAUUUCAAGAAAUACCCAUGGGGUAGAGAUUUUAAAUAAAACUAGCCCAUAGCUAUUUGCAUCUCUCCUUUAUUUGGAUCAAUGUCCUGGUAAGAUGAGAAGCAAGAUUGGGGUUCAAUUUAUAAGAACUGAAGCAAAAGCAGUGCCUAUAUGGAGUGGCAGGAGGGGGAGAAAAAUCCUUAGCCUAUGAGGACUUGACUAAAUAAGCAAGGAAAGCCAUUCAUUCAGGACAGCUUCCCAACCUUUCCUACCACAUCGAGGCUGACACACACCUAGAAAUGACAGGGUUGAAAGCCUAAGAACACCUCAGCAUAUACACACUGAGUGCUGUUCCAAGUUUAACACUUUAAUAGGGCAAAAAUAAUAGCUCCUGCAUGGUUAGAGAAAUAAGAUGCAUAUAAAACAUUCGUGUAAAAAUGUAAGCUUCCGAAAGCAUUGUUACAAAAUUAGAAUGGGUAGAAUUCAAAGAAAAGAGAGACUGGGAUGAGUCAGAGAGACCUGGUAAAAUGUUCACAUAAGAAAAAUGUAAAGAGUAUUUAAAGAGGCAGGAAGAAAAAGAAGGGAAGUAAUUUGUGUAUAUAUUAGAUGAAUAAUAGAAACCCGGAUUUCCUACAACUUUGUCCAACUGGCAUUUUCACUUGAAACCCUUUAGCAUCACUGAUCUUGGUCUCCUAGGAGUGAUGACUGUAUACCUUAUACUUCUGGUAGUUACAGAGAGUUAUACUUCUGGUAUUACCAGAGUUAUACUUCUGGUAGUUACUUCUGGUAUCCAUGGGAGAUUAGUUCCAAGACCUGCUGUGUAUACCAAAAUCUAUGCACACUCAUUCAAGUCCUAGAGUCAAACCUAUAAAACCCGCAUAUACAAAAGUCAGCCAGCCUUAUCACAUGGAUUUCACAUCCAGAAAAUACUGUACUAUCAGUCCACAUUUGGUUGAAAAUAUCUGCAUAUGAGUGGAACCACACAGUUCAAAUUUGUCUUGUUCAUGGGUCAACUGUAUAAUAAAAAUCAUAAAAAUGAAGAAAAGCCAAAUUAUGCAAUUCGCUUGAGACAACACAGGAUUUGGUAUAAGUAUAAAAGGAAAACACAUCACAUAAGCAAAAAUUGUUAAAACUCUUCUUCUUAUGUCACUUUUGUAUUAUUCUUUUUGAUGACUGUAUGUCUACUUAUGACUGUAUGUCUACUUAUGAAAUGUUUGAAAGUUACUACCUUUUAUUUAUGUCAAAAGACUUGUGAGCUAUUUGUAUUCUAUGCCUGUUUAAACUAUUGCAGAUGACUGAAUUCUUCCUAUUACUGAAUUAUUCUGUGUCAUAGAAGAUAUCAUAUUUGGUAGUAUUUGUACUCUAAUACAAAAGCGUUGCAAGCUACUGGCAAAUAGAAGUACAUAUAUUCAUUUACUGCAAGUGUAUAAACCUAUAAUCAGAAUAUUCCACUUCAACAUCUAUUUCUCUCUAAAAUCUAAAAUGACCCCUCGAAAACUCAAAAGACUUUUCUUCUCAGGUUACAUUACAUUCUUUUGUUCAAUAUUCCCUCUGUCACUCAAACUAAGUCAUCUUGUUUGGCUUUACUUGUUGAGAUUUAGCCAUAGCAAAUAUCCUCAAAUUAUUCUAAAUUGGAAUAAAUCUUGAUGAAAGUAUAUUCUAAUACUGACCAUAUAAAUAUUGUCACCAUAUGGUGAUGCAGAAGGAGCACAAAAUUGCAUCUCGAGAAUUAUCACAUCUGUUAGCCAUGUACAGCAAUAUUUAAAUCAGAUGAUCUCUUUUCUCAAUUCCAGUAUUAAAAUGAUGUGAUGUUAGUGUGUGAUGAAUAAAUAGAUAACCUCUGCCAUCA